AUUGAACGCUGGCGGCAGGCUUAACACAUGCAAGUCGAGCGGAGAUGAGGUGCUUGCACCUUAUCUUAGCGGCGGACGGGUGAGUAAUGCUUAGGAAUCUGCCUAUUAGUGGGGGACAACAUUCCGAAAGGAAUGCUAAUACCGCAUACGUCCUACGGGAGAAAGCAGGGGAUCUUCGGACCUCGCGCUAAUAGAUGAGCCUAAGUCGGAUUAGCUAGUUGGUGGGGUAAAGGCCUACCAAGGCGACGAUCUGUAGCGGGUCUGAGAGGAUGAUCCGCCACACUGGGACUGAGACACGGCCCAGACUCCUACGUGAGGCAGCAGUGGGGAAUAUUGGACAAUGGGGGGAACCCUGAUCCAGCCAUGCCGCGUGUGUGAAGAAGGCCUUAUGGUUGUAAAGCACUUUAAGCGAGGAGGAGGCUACUGAGACUAAUACUCUUGGAUAGUGGACGUUACUCGCAGAAUAAGCACCGGCUAACUCUGUGCCAGCCGCCGCGGUAACAC
rnacentral:rRNA from 1 species